AUUGAACGCUGGCGGCAUGCCUUACACAUGCAAGUCGAACGGUAACAGGUCUUCGGAUGCUGACGAGUGGCGCACGGGGGAGUAAUACAUCGGAACGUGCCCGAUCGUGGGGGAUAACGCAGCGAAAGCUGUGCUAAUACCGCAUACGAGCUACGGAUGAAAGCGGGGGAUCGCAAGACCUCGCGCGGACGGAGCGGCCGAUGGCAGAUUAGGUAGUUGGUGGGAUAAAAGCUUACCAACCCGACGAUCUGUAGCUGGUCUGAGAGGACGACCAGCCACACUGGAACUGAGACACGGCCCAGACUCCUACGGGAGGCAGCAGUGGGGAAUUUUGGACAAUGGGCGCAAGCCUGAUCCAGCCAUGCCGCGUGCAGGAUGAAGGUCUUCGGGUUGUAAACUGCUUUAGUACGGAACGAAAAAGCUCUCUCUAAUACAGGGGGUGAAUGACGGUACCGUAAGAAUAAGCACCGGCUAACUACGUG
rnacentral:rRNA from 1 species